rnacentral:rRNA from 1 species
GAUGAACGCUGGCGGCGUGCCUAAUACAUGCAAGUCGAGCGAACAGACGAGGAGCUUGCUCCUCUGACGUUAGCGGCGGACGGGUGAGUAACACGUGGAUAACCUACCUAUAAGACUGGGAUCACUUCGGGAAACCGGAGCUAAUACCGGAUAAUAUAUUGAACCGCAUGGUUCAAUAGUAAAAGUCGGUUUUGCUGUCACUUAUAGAUGGAUCGGGGCCGCAUUAGCUAGUUGGUAAGGUAACGGCUUACCAAGGCAACGAUGCGUAGCCGACCUGAGAGGGGGAUCGGCCACACUGGAACUGAGACACGGACAUGGCUCCUACGGUAGGCAGCAGUAGGGAAUGUUCCGCAAUGGGGGAAAGCCUGACGGAGCAACGGCACGUGAGUGAUGAAAGUCUUCGGAUCGUAAAGCUCUGUUAUUAGGGAAGAACAGAUGUGUAAUGAGCUGUGGACGUCUUGACGGUACCUAGUCAAAAAGCCACGGCUAACUACGUG